UACAGAGGUCCCGAGCGUUGUUCGGAUUCACUGGGCGUAAAGGGUGCGUAGGUGGUUGGGUAAGUCUGAUGUGAAAUCUCCGGGCUCAACCCGGAAAUGGCAUUGGAUACUAUUCGGCUAGAGGUUUGGAGGGGGGACUGGAAUUCUCGGUGUAGCAGUGAAAUGCGUAGAUAUCGAGAGGAACACCAGUGGCGAAGGCGGCAUCCUGGACCGACACUGACACUGAGAGACGAAAGCUAGGGGAGCAAAUGGG
rnacentral:rRNA from 1 species